rnacentral:rRNA from 1 species
AGAGUUUGAUCCUGGCUCAGGACGAACGCUGGCGGCGUGCUUUAUACAUGCAAGUCGAACGAUGAAGUCCUUCGGGAAUGGAUUAGUGGCGAACGGGUGAGGAACACGUGAGAAACCUGCCUUUCAUUCUGGGAUAACACCGGGAAACCGGUGCUAAUACCGGAUACUCCAUCUUGGCGGCAUCGCCGAGCUGGGAAAAAAUUUUGAUGAAAGAUGGUCUCGCGGCCUAUCAGCUAGUUGGUGAGGUAAUGGCUCACCAAGGCGACGACGGGUAGCCGGCCUGAGAGGGCGACCGGCCACACGGGACUGAGACACGGCCCAGACUCCUACGGGAGGCAGCAGUAGGGAAUAUUGGGCAAUGGGCGCAAGCCUGACCCAGCGACGCCGCGUGAGGGAUGAAGGUCUUCGGAUUGUAAACCUCUUUCAGUAGGGAAGAAGCGAAAGUGACGGUACCUAAAGAAGAAGCACCGGCUAACUAUGUGCCAGCAGCCGCGGUAAUACAUAGGGUGCAAGCGUUGUCCGGAAUUAUUGGGCGUAAAGAGCUCGUAGGUCGUUUGUCGCGUCGAUUGUGAAAAUCUGAGGCUCAACCUCAGACCUGCAGUCGAUACGGGCAAACUAGAGUGUGGUAGGGGAGACUGGAAUUCCUGGUGUAGCGGUGGAAUGCGCAGAUAUCAGGAGGAACACCAAUGGCGAAGGCAGGUCUCUGGGCCAUAACUGACACUGAGGAGCGAAAGUGCGGGGAGCGAACAGGAUUAGAUACCCUGGUAGUCCGCACCGUAAACGGUGGGCACUAGUUGUGGGAACCUUCCACGGUUUCCGCGACGCAGCAAACGCAUUAAGUGCCCCGCCUGGGGAGUACGAUCGCAAGAUUAAAACUCAAAGGAAUUGACGG